CACGUAGGGGGCGAGCGUUGUUCGGAAUUACUGGGCGUAAAGGGCAUGUAGGCGGUUUUGUAAGACUGGCGUGAAAGGCUGCAGCUUAACUGUAGCAUGGCGCUGGUAACUACAAGACUUGAGUCACGGAGAGGGAGCUAGAAUUCCAGGUGUAGGGGUGAAAUCUGUAGAUAUCUGGAAGAAUACCAGUGGCGAAGGCGAGCUUCUGGCCGAUGACUGACGCUGAGGUGCGAAAGCGUGGGUAGCAAACAGGAUUAGAUACCCUGGUAGUCCACGCGGUAAACGAUGCACACUAGGUGCUGGGGCGGACGCUUCAGUGCCGGAGUUAACGUGGUAAGUGUGCCGCCUGGGGAGUAUGCUCGCAAGGGUGAA
rnacentral:rRNA from 1 species